UUGCACCGACGUUGGUCGCCGGAGUUUGGUGAGAAGUCAGCCUGCUCGCUGCGAUUUUGGGGAAGCAAAACCUGCUGCCGCACCUGUUUUCGGAGCCGAAAUCGAAGGGUUUCGAAUGCGAAUUUGGAAUCGGUUCCUUCAGGAAACUCGUAGAGGACAUCGUAAACUAUAAGUGUCGAGCGUACUAAAGCUCUCACUCAAGGUUUAAGCUUAAAGAUGCACCUAUAGAACUAGCAUUGGACUCCAGGUGAGAAACUAUGACUCCUUAUCCAAUUUCUUUCCUGCGCAUAAUAUCUCCUUUGUUUGAACCGAAUAUUUUGUAUAUAUUGAAGCCUUCGAUACCUUGAUUAUAUUUGUUCUUGAAA